rnacentral:piRNA from 2 species
AGGAGCUUGCUCCGUCCACUCCACGCAUCG